rnacentral:rRNA from 1 species
CUGGGAGAGAAUCCCAAGGUGUAUGAGAUAACUCUGGUUAAGGAACUCGCAAAAUAGCACUGUAACUUCGGGAGAAGGUGUGCCUCUAUUAGGUGACAUGACACGCUCAUGGAGCCGAAUGAGGUCGCAGUGACCAGGUGGUAGCGACUGUUUACUAAAAACACAGGACUCUGCUAAGUCGCGAAGACGACGUAUAGGGUCUGACGCCUGCCCGGUGCCGGAAGGUUAAAAGGAGGGGUCAGCCGCAAGGCGAAGCUCUGAAUCGAAGCCCCGGUAAACGGCGGCCGUAACAAUAACGGUCCUAAGGUAGCGAAAUUCCUUGUCGGGUAAGUUCCGACCUGCACGAAUGGCGUAACGACUUCCAUACUGUCUCAACCAGGGACUCAGCGAAAUCUACGUAGCGGUGAAGAUGCCGUCGACCUGCGGCAAGACGGAAAGACCCCGUGAACCUUUACUAUAGCUUGACACUGAGGUCCGGUCUGGGCUGUGUAGCAUAGGUGGGAGGCUUUGAAGUCGGAGCGCUAGCUUCGGUGGAGCCAUCGUUGAAAUACCACCCUGCUCAGUCUGGACUUCUAACCUGCGCCCCUGAACCGGGGCGAGGAACACUGUCUGGUGGGUAGUUUGACUGGGGCGGUCGCCUCCCAAAAUGUAACGGAGGCGCGCAAUGGUUCCCUCAGGCUGUUUGGAAAUCAGCCGUCGAGUGCAAGAGCAUAAGGGAGCUUAACUGCGAGACCGACGGGUCGAGCAGGUGCGAAAGCAGGUUCUAGUGAUCCGGUGGUCCCGUGUGGAAGGGCCAUCGCUCAACGGAUAAAAGGUACUCCGGGGAUAACAGGCUUAUCUCCCCCAAGAGCUCAUAUCGACGGGGAGGUUUGGCACCUCGAUGUCGGCUCAUCGCAUCCUGGGGCUGGAGCAGGUCCCAAGGGUUUGGCUGUUCGCCAAUUAAAGCGGUACGCGAGCUGGGUUUAAAACGUCGUGAGACAGUUUGGUCCCUAUCUGUCGUGGGCGCUUGGAAACUUGAGAAGCCCUGCUCUUAGUACGAGAGGACCAGAGUGGACGGACCCCUGGUGUACCAGUUGUCUUACCAAAGGCAUUGCUGGGUAGCUAUGUCCGGACGGGAUAACCGCUGAAAGCAUCUAAGCGGGAAGCCCCCUUCAAGAUUAGGUUUCCCGGGUCGUAAGACCCCUUAAGGCCCCGAGAAGACUACUCGGUUGAUAGGUUGGUUGUGGAAGCUCAGUGAAUGGGUGUAGCAAACCAAUACUAAUGCACCGUGCGGUUUUAUC